CUUACACCACUCUCUUCUACCAUGCCGUCUCUUUUCUAUCCUAUUCCCCCAUAUCUCCCUACUAUGAUCUCAAGAGCUUUUACUACUCAACCACCAUAUUCUGAUUCUAUUCUACCUUCCAUUCCUGCUACUUUCACUACCCCACCCUCUUCCUCUAUUAUGCCACCAUCAUUUCCUACAUAUCCAUCACUUUAUUUUCAAUACCCAAAUACCAUGCCACACAC
rnacentral:lncRNA from 1 species